GUGAGGAAUUUUCCGCAAUGGGCGAAAGCCUGACGGAGCAAUGCCGCGUGAAGGAUGAAGGCCUAUGGGUUGUAAACUUCUUUUCUCAGAAAAGAAUUAUGACGGUAUCUGAGGAAUAAGCAUCGGCUAACUCUGUGCCAGCAGCCGCGGUAAGACCGAGGAUGCAAGCGUUAUCCGGAAUGAUUGGGCGUAAAGCGUCUGUAGGUUGUUUAAAAAGUAUUCUGUCAAAGAUUAGGGCUUAACCCUAGAUAGGCAGAAUAAACUUUUAAGCUAGAGUUUGGUAGAGGCAGAGGGAAUUCCCGGUGGAGCGGUGAAAUGCGUAGAUAUCGGGAGGAACACCAAAGGCGAAGGCACUCUGCUGGGCCAAUACUAACACUGAGAGACGAAAGCGAGGGGAGCAAAUGGGAUUAGAAACCCGGGUAGUCC
rnacentral:rRNA from 1 species